rnacentral:rRNA from 1 species
GAUGAACGCUGGCGGCGUGCCUAAUACAUGCAAGUCGAACGAAACUUCUUUAUCACCGAGUGCUUGCACUCACCGAUAAAGAGUUGAGUGGCGAACGGGUGAGUAACACGUGGGCAACCUGCCCAAAAGAGGGGGAUAACACUUGGAAACAGGUGCUAAUACCGCAUAACCAUAGUUACCGCAUGGUAACUAUGUCAAAGGUGGCUAUACUACCGCUUUUGGAUGGGCCCGCGGCGCAUUAGCUAGUUGGUAGGGUAAAGGCUUACCAAGGCAAUGAUGCGUAGCCGAAUUGAGAGGUUGAUCGGCCACAUUGGGACUGAGACACGGCCCAAACUCCUACGGGAGGCAGCAGUAGGGAAUCUUCCACAAUGGGCGAAAGCCUGAUGGAGCAACGCCGCGUGGGUGAAGAAGGUCUUCGGAUCGUAAAACCCUGUUGUUAGAGAAGAAAGUGCGUGAGAGUAACUGUUCACGUUUCGACGGUAUCUAACCAGAAAGCCACGGCUAACUACGUG